UACUCGCGAAUGCUCUAGAUUAGACGUUCGAUCAUGGCUCAGANUUGAACGCUCGGCGGCCAAGCUUAACACAUGCAAGUCGAGCGGGGAAGGGUAGCUUGCUACCUAACCUAGCGGCGGACGGGUGAGUAAUGCUUAGGAAUCUGCCAUUUAGUGGGGGACAACAUUCCGAAAGGAAUGCUAAUACCGCAUACGUCCUACGGGAGAAGGCAGGGGAUCUUCGGACCUUGCGCUAAAUGAUGAGCCUAAGUCGGAUUAGCUAGUUGGUGGGGUAAAGGCCUACCAAGGCGACGAUCUGUAGCGGGUCUGAGAGGAUGAUCCGCCACACUGGGACUGAGACACGGCCCAGACUCCUACGGGAGGCAGCAGUGGGGAAUAUUGGACAAUGGGCGGAAGCCUGAUCCAGCCAUGCCGCGUGUGUGAAGAAGGCCUUUUGGUUGUAAAGCACUUUAAGCGAGGAGGAGGCUCUCCUAGUUAAUACCUAGGAUGAGUGGACGUUACUCGCAGAAUAAGCACCGGCUAACUCUGUGCCAGCAGCCGCGGUAAUACAGAGGGUGCGAGCGUUAAUCGGAUUUACUGGGCGUAAAGCGUGCAGUUAAAGG
rnacentral:rRNA from 1 species